GGGGUUGUGGCUCAGUGGUAGAGCACUUGCCUAGCAUGUGUGAGGUUCUGGGUUCGAUACUCAGCACCA
rnacentral:tRNA from 1 species